rnacentral:rRNA from 1 species
GAAGUUGACGGGGACCCGCACAAGCAGCGGAGCGUGUGGUUUAAUUCGAUGCUACACGAAGAACCUUACCAGGGUUUGACAUGCAAGUGGUGGAAACUGAAAGGGGACCGACCCUUUCGGGGAGCUUGCACAGGUGCUGCAUGGCUGUCGUCAGCUCGUGUCGUGAGAUGUUCGGUUAAGUCCGCUAACGAGCGCAACCCUCACUGUGUGUUAUAUGUGUCACACGGGACUGCCGGUUUUAAGCCGGAGGAAGGUGGGGAUGACGUCAAGUCAGCAUGGCCUUUAUAUCCUGGGCUACACACACGCUACAAUGGUCGGUACAAUAGGUUGCCAAGCCGCGAGGCGGAGCCAAUCCAUAAAAGCCGGCCUCAGUUCAGAUUGUAGGCUGCAACUCGCCUGCAUGAAGAUGGAGUUGCUAGUAACCGCAGGUCAGCAAUACUGCGGUGAAUACGUUCCCGGGUCUU